rnacentral:misc_RNA from 1 species
AUGGUUCUUGAAAAGCGAUGAUAGUUGGGGAGAGGGAGUGGUUUAUGACAAAAUUGACCUCGAUGCGGAGAGGUUCCCCACUUCAGUUGCAGUGGGAAGAGAUGAUAGGGCAUACGUGGUAUAUGGGAGAGUGAUAGAGAGUAUAAUGGGAAAGGAGGGGAGGGAGUGGUUUGAUAUAGAGGAGGUGAAAUCAGAAAGGGAAAGAAAGGACGAGAAUGUUUGGGUUUUCGUUUUGAUUGGAUUGGGUUUGGCCUAUUUCUUCUUCUGGAGAUUUCAAAUGAAGCAGCUUGUGAAAAAUAUGUAUAAAAAAAAUAAUUAAAUUUUUCCUUUUUUUUUAUGAAUUUUAGAGUGUACAUUCUUUUUUUAACUUUCAAAACUGAACUUGGA